rnacentral:tRNA from 1 species
AUUCUUAUAGCUUAUAUUUUAGAGUUUAAUAUUGAAAUUAUUAAUGAGUAAUUAAUUACUGAGAAUA